GCCCCCGUAGUUUAGCCAGGAUAGAAUGGGGCCCUGCGGAGGCCUUGGCCCCGGUUCGAAUCCGGGCGGGGGCA
rnacentral:tRNA from 1 species